UACGGAGGGUGCAAGCGUUAUCCGGAUUUACUGGGUUUAAAGGGUGCGUAGGUGGAUUAGUAAGUCAGGGGUGAAAUCUUCAAGCUUAACUUGGAAACUGCCUUUGAUACUAUUAGUCUUGAAUAUCCUGGAGGUGAGCGGAAUAUGUCAUGUAGCGGUGAAAUGCUUAGAUAUGACAUAGAACACCAAUUGCGAAGGCAGCUCACUACGGGAUUAUUGACACUGAGGCACGAAAGCGUGGGGAUCAAACAGG
rnacentral:rRNA from 1 species